rnacentral:rRNA from 1 species
GCUAGGGGGUCAUCCCGACUUACCAACCCGAUGCAAACUACGAAUACCGAAGAAUGUUAUCACGGGAGACACACGGCGGGUGCUAACGUCCGUCGUGAAGAGGGAAACAACCCAGACCGCCAGCUAAGGUCCCAAAGUCAUGGUUAAGUGGGAAACGAUGUGGGAAGGCACAGACAGCCAGGAUGUUGGCUUAGAAGCAGCCAUCAUUUAAAGAAAGCGUAAUCGCUCACUGGUCGAGUCGGCCUGCGCGGAAGAUGUAACG